UACGUAGGGUGCAAGCGUUGUCCGGAAUUAUUGGGCGUAAAGGGCUCGUAGGCGGUCCAUCGCGUCGGGGAGUGAAAAGCUGGGGCUUAACCCCAGUCCUGCUUCUGAUACGGGCAGACUAGAGGUAUGCAGGGGAGAACGGAAUUCCUGGUGUAGCGGUGAAAUGCGCAGAUAUCAGGAGGAACACCGGUGGCGAAGGCGGUUCUCUGGGCAUUACCUGACGCUGAGGAGCGAAAGUGUGGGGAGCGAACAGG
rnacentral:rRNA from 1 species